rnacentral:rRNA from 1 species
GAUGAACGCUGGCGGCGUGCCUAAUACAUGCAAGUCGAGCGAACAGAUUAGGAGCUUGCUCCUCUGACGUUAGCGGCGGACGGGUGAGUAAAACGUGGAUAACCUCCCUAUAAGACUGGGAUAACUUCGGGAAACCGGAGCUAAUACCGGAUAAUAUAUUGAACCGCAUGGUUCAAUAGUGAAAGACGGUUUUGCUGUCACUUAUAGAUGGAUCCGCGCCGCAUUAGCUAGUUGGUAAGGUAACGGCUUACCAAGGCAACGAUGCGUAGCCGACCUGAGAGGGUGAUCGGCCACACUGGAACUGAGACACGGUCCAGACUCCUACGGGAGGCAGCAGUAGGGAAUCUUCCGCAAUGGGCGAAAGCCUGACGGAGCAACGCCGCGUGAGUGAUGAAGGUCUUCGGAUCGUAAAACUCUGUUAUUAGGGAAGAACAAAUGUGUAAGUAACUAUGCACGUCUUGACGGUACCUAAUCAGAAAGCCACGGCUAACUACGUG